UGGCUUUAUAGCACCGAAGAUGCUGCUGCCCGUUUUCGGUCUGUGUAUCUUAAAGCCAGCAGUUGGAUGGUUAUCCUGCCAUCCGACGGCUUUAUAAGUUUCAAGGUGGUGUUUAGAACUGUGUUA